CAGUUUGAUACUUGCAAAGUCAUUCGUUGUCACUCCUGCAUGUAUUUUUUGCUCACUUCUGAAUCGACGAUGUUCAGCUAAUUGAGGAAGUUGUCAGUCAUCUCUGGACUACACCAUCAAGUUCCAAAGCGAAGAUUUGUGCAAACAGUACAAGUGUGUCUAAGAUUAUGAGCAGUAUCAAUACUUCAACUUGACAUGAUUUAAGAUGCUAGUCCUAUUCUAGAUAAAUUUUCCAGUGGAAGCUCACAAGAAUCUAUUCUUUGUCAAUGGAAGGAGAUUAUGGAGUGUAAUUCUUCAGAUGCAGAAAUGUCACAUUUUGCUGAGGGUUCCGAGAGUACAAUACAAGCCAAAAUCAAGACUUUGGAUUCUCAAACAUACAAUUUGCAUGUGAAUAAAUAUAUAAAUACAUGUUGUCUGGUCCAAAUACUGAUUUAUUUGAUGUGAACGAAGAUGGUUUGGGUGGCAAUCCAAACUUUUUUGGAUACUCUGAAAACACCAGGAAUGAUGUAUUGCCAGCACUUGAGAGGAAAACAGGAGGUUCUGGUUCUAUUUCUGCUCUUAAGGAACUACUGGCCGUUUGACUCUCUGCUCAUUAAACUGGUAGUGUAUAAGAUGUGCGAAACAUUUUGCAGUGCACUCCCAUAAUAUAAGAGCGUUUUUGACACUACACUAGUGUAAAAAAUGCUCUUAUAUUAUGGGACGGAGGGAGUAGUUUUUUAAGCUGGGCCAAGUCCUCUAGAUGGUUCGGGAGGCAAUGAGACUUAUGCUCAAGUCAGUUAGCAGUUUCAUUCUUCGAGUUGUUUGACCUGAUAUCUGUAGUGUUGACAUCAUACAUAAACCGAGAGAAUGAAAUGUCUCAGAUCAUAUGAAGGUGAUUGAUCUUAGCAGAAAAAAAUAGUGAAGUACUACACUAGUGUCAAAAAACGUCUUACAUUAUGGGACGGAGGGAGUACAAUAUAUUUAUCCUGCAAUUUUAAGGAUCUCAAUGACCAUAAUAAAGGGACGUGGUAAAGCUUAUUCUGAAAGAUUACUGCGCAUUUGCCCCCAACAAGUAACUGAUUGCGCUGGGCAUUUUUAGUUCUUUUACCCCUUUCCCAGUUCAUUGGCAUGGUAUUAUGUUACCGUGCUGUCAUUAUCUGUAUUAAUGUUAAUACUUCAGAAGUGUUCAAUUUAUUUAUCAUUUUACAUAUUUAAAGGUGACUGAGGGCUGUGAUGAUGUGGACCUACCAGUUCCUAGGAAAUUAAGAUCGAUGUGCUAAUCACUGCAUUUGAUGUCUCAUACAACUAAGAAAAGGGAUAGUUUGUCCCUUUCUCUUUCCAUCUUUACGUAUUGAUUUGCAGAUUGCAUAGGAGCAUCUGUGACUAAUAGUUUUUAACAAAAAAUCUAACUUAGCUUGUCCCUGAAUAUACUAUUGAUGUUGGUGUUUCUACUCUUGGGACAUCCACGGUUCAGAUGUUCUCUUAAGCCAUUGGCAUGUAUCUUCUGUCUAAAAAAUGCUCUUUUACUUUGUUCUAAUACAGGACUUAAAGUUGCAAGUGAACUAUGGGUUCUUGUAGUCAUCGAAUUUUUUCACGAAGGACUAAGUGCUUGCUGAUACUUUGCUAGCACUAUCCCAAAUACCACCAGCUCCAGCUGACAUGGCGACGGAGCUAGAUAUCUCAAACAUAAAUAUUGCCUCAUCUUCUUGUUUAGAAGGUUGAUCAUAAUUUCCUGAUAUUGUCUAUUGCAUACUAAUAACUGAGAAUUCCUCUUCAAAUUAACCAGGCCAGUUUGCUAUGUAGCCAGCUCUUACUGAAUCGAUCUAUGUCAGCUCAUGCUCUCAAAUUGGUCAAGAGGUCAUUGUGUGUUGAGUCUUAUCUACAGAUUAAUUGUUUUGUUCAACCCAACAGUCUUAUCCACAUAUAUCUAACCACAUUGGGAGUUCUGACAUCUUUAUAGUUGAAUUAAUCCUCAUACAUAUGGCAGGUGCAGGAGGUACAAUGUAAGCAAGCAGGGCGGUCGCGAUCAUGCUGCCCGUCGGCCUUACCACUGGAGAUUCAGGCGAGAACCGGCGCCCCCACCAUGCCUGUUGCCUGUUGGUGACGCUCACGCAGGAAUCCAGAGGCAGCACCUUGGUCUUCUCCCUGUGAACCCCACCUCUCCGACGAUGCAGCCGCCAUCCGAGGGUGGCGGGACCGAUGCCACCGUCCAUGCCAUGUUCUGGCUGAUCCCCCAAGGCUCCUCACCUACGUCCAAAGGGCAGCACACAACCAAUGGUACUGCUGCCAUGACGACACCCACCUCUGUGUUGAUUGAGCUUUUCGACCUGCCCGGAAUGGACAAGGUCAUUCGGGCAUCUGAUUUUGAUGUGCCAUUUGCUCUGUUUGAUAAGAAGUCAAGUGUAGCAACAUGAACAAUUGUGUUACAGAAACUGUGCUACCAAUUGUUUGUAAUAGAUGUUCCCUUUUGUCCUGAUUUAUGGAUACGAGGUAGUAAGAAGUACUAUUGUGUCA